rnacentral:rRNA from 1 species
GAGUUUGAUCGUGGCUCAGAUUGAACGCUGGCGGCAUGCUUUACACAUGCAAGUCGAGCGGCAGCGCGGGGGCAACCCUGGCGGCGAGCGGCGAACGGGUGAGUAACAGAUAGGAACGUGUCCGGGAGUGGGGGAUAACUAGCCGAAAGGUUAGCUAAUACCGCAUAUUCUCUACGGAGGAAAGCGGGGGACCGAAAGGCCUCGCGCUCGCGGAGUGGCCUAUCUCCGAUUAGCUAGUUGGUGAGGUAAAGGCUUACCAAGGCGACGAUCGGUAGCUGGUCUGAGAGGAUGAUCAGCCACACGGGCACUGAGACACGGGCCCGACUCCUACGGGAGGCAGCAGUAAGGAAUAUUGGGCAAUGGACGCAAGUCUGACCCAGCCAUGCCGCGUGGAGGAUGAAGGUCCUCUGGAUUGUAAACUUCUUUUAUAUGGGACGAAAAAGGGUCUUUCUAGAUCAACUGACGGUACCAUAUGAAUAAGCACCGGCUAGCUCCGUGCCAGCCGCCGCCGUAAC